rnacentral:lncRNA from 1 species
CCCACCCCCUGAACCCUGCAACUCACAAGUCAGAAUUUUUUCCAGGUCUGCUACUGUUCAAAUAAAUCAUAUAGCAAAGCAAGAAUGUAUCCUGUCUCCUCCUAAAGCAGGAUCAUUUGGGUUCUCACAGAAAAUUUGGUUUCAGUGAAGUGGAGGCAAGUUGUGAAACUGUUCUCAUUGAAGUGUUCCAAAGAAAAAGAGGAAGGCUGAAGUGCCUUUUCAUCAUUAGGAGAAAUCAAAGUGGAGGGAUGGGCACAUGGACAUCUGGAUAUCCAGCUAAUAUGGCAUCAAGAUGCAGCUGAAACUUACACGCAGACCUAAGUGUGACAGCCCUGCCUAACUAACUUUGAUGCUCCCAUGACCUGAGUCAACAAAUAGCUUUAAGAUGGAUACUCGUCUCACUAAUGGUUUUCUACUGAUGUGAGUAUUCCAUUAUUCGUUUUGUUUGGUUUGGUGUGGGUUUUUUUAAUUAUUAUUAUUAUUAAUAUUUUUUUUAUUUAUUUGCUAGGAGAGAAAUUCUCAAGCAAAUUAUUCUGGGAGUGAGAAAAAUUUUGAUACCCCAAAGAUUUUAUGUGGGCUUACUCCGAUGAACGUUGUCAAAUUCCAAUCAUUUAGUACAAGGUGUGCUUAACAUCAGCUGAAAAGUACUGCUGCAAUAUGGGGAAAAUUAUAGAUUUGAACCUGAAAAAAUGGAACCAAAGGCAUUUACCCAAAGAGUUUCUAUCUUCAGAAUAACUCUCUUUACUUGCCCUUGCUUGUCUUCUGUCUUUUUUAUUAUUAUUAUUUUAAAUUGCAU